rnacentral:tRNA from 1 species
GUAAAACGUAGAUGAAAGGUAAAGCCCGACGUUGAUAACGUCGGGGCGGGGCGCGCCGCCAAAGGCGCAAGUCCCUCUGUUUCCACCA